CAAUCUUCUUGGCCGUUUGGCUAAGAUCAAGUUUAGUAUCUGUUGUUAUCAGAUUAAUAUCUGAUAUGUACCCUAUCCAGGGACCAUAUAAUAAAUUGAUUUCCGAAACAGGGAGGUAGAAUAAGGGCUUGCUCCGUACACUCUACGCAUCGACCUGGUAUUGCAGUACCUCCAGGAAUGGUGCCCGGCCU